AUGUUGCGGGAGAGGUGUGGCCUCCGUGAUAGUGUAUAUGUGACCGUGGAAGAGAAAGUUGCAAUGUUCUUACUUGUAGUUGGCCAUAGUAUCAAGAAGAGGAUGUUGCGUGGCACCUACAAGCGUUCUUUAUGGACCAUUAGUACACACUUCUCUGCUAUCCUAACAGCCCUACUCUCUCUAUAUGAGGAGUUCAUUAAGCUACCUUCCGCUACCGCUCAAGCUCCUGAUGAUUACAAAUGGAAGUGGUUUGGUAAUGCACUUGGAGCACUAGAUGGUUGCCAUAUUGACGUGCUUGUUGAUGUGGCUGACCAAGGAAGGUAUAGGAACAGAAAGCAAGCCAUUACCACCAACAUGCUAGGUGUUGUUGAUUGGAACAUGAAGUUUCUUUAUGUGUUACCUGGCUGGGAGGGUUCUGUUUCAGGCUCGAGAGUUUUGCGUGAUGCAAUGAGGACAAACCGCCAAGAUGCUUUUGUUAUACCUAAGGGUAUGACUCUUUCUCUUGGCAUGUAG
rnacentral:rRNA from 1 species